rnacentral:rRNA from 1 species
AGAAUCAACGCUGGCGGCGUGCCUAACACAUGCAAGUCGAACGAGAAAGUGGAGCAAUCCAUGAGUAAAGUGGCGCACGGGUGAGUAACACGUGACUAACCUACCCUUGAGUGGGGGAUAACCUAGGGAAACCUGGGCUAAUACCGCAUAAUACCUUCGGGUCAAAGGAGCAAUUCGCUUAAGGAGGGGUCGCGGCCGAUUAGUUAGUUGGCGGGGUAAUGGCCCACCAAGACUAUGAUCGGUA